CUCUGCCUCUGAUCCUCCCAGUGUCCCCGGCCCGUCCAGCCUCCCCACCCUAUACAAAUACACCUGAGGUUAGACGGAGCCUCAGACUUACUCCCGCUCCUUGCUCUAUGCUCUCAGGUGUUCCUUUUGUCACUCCCUGUGCUUGCUGUAUAAGGAUGGAGCCAGGUCCGAAGGGGCACUGCCAUGGUGGUGGCCAUGGCCCUGGGCCCUGUUGUGGGGAAAGGCACCCCUCUGGCCAUGGUCCUGGGCACUGUCCUGGGGGAAGCCACCCCCCAGGGCCCUGUGGGCACCGCCCUGGUCAUGACCCAGGGCACUGUCCGGGGGGAAGCCACCCCCCAGGGCCCUGUGGGCCCCAACCUGGUCCACCUCACUAAGGAAGCAGAAGAAAGAGGAUACAAGAAUGGGGAGUGUGAGUGGGUUGCCCUGCUGACCUGGCAUGGAGCCUGAACCAGAAUCUCCUCUUUCUAAUAAACAGCCUCCCA